UACAGAGGUCUCAAGCGUUGUUCGGAUUCAUUGGGCGUAAAGGGUGCGUAGGUGGCGCUGUAAGUCGGGUGUGAAAUUUCGGAGCUUAACUCCGAAACUGCAUUCGAUACUGCGGUGCUUGAGGACUGGAGAGGAGACUGGAAUUCAUGGUGUAGCAGUGAAAUGCGUAGAGAUCAUGAGGAAGACCAGUGGCGAAGGCGGAUCUCUGGACAGUUCCUGACGCUGAGGCGCGAAGGCCAGGGGAGCAAACGGG
rnacentral:rRNA from 1 species